rnacentral:rRNA from 1 species
GAUUUCUGGCUUGAAACAUUUAGCCGGCCACGGUUUCGUGUGUUAGUGCUUGAUGUUCUGGCCAUCCUUCCAAUUGCUAUUCAUCUUUCUUCAUUGAUGGGUGAGUGGUAUUGGAUCUUUUACUUUGAAAAAAUUAGAGUGUUUAAAGCAGGUUUGCGCCUUGAAUACAUUAGCAUGGAAUAAUAAUUUAGGACUUCUGCCUAUUUUAUUGGUUUCUAGGUUUGGAGUAAUGAUUGAUAGGGAUAGUUGGGGGUGCUAGUAUUCAUCGGCCAGAGGUGAAAUUCUUGGAUUCGAUGAAGACUAACUAAUGCGAAAGCAUU